GGGACUUUAUAAUACUUCCUCAUUGUAUUUUCAGCACAUGCUUCCUUUUGUUUCAAAGGCACUUGAAAAUAAAAUUGUUUGGGUUGAGAGAUUGGUUUGGGAAAAGAUAAUAACCUGUAGUCAUAAUGGACAGGUCUUUUAUUAUGCUGCUUACUUUCUAAAUUAUCCUCGUGAGAGCUUUCCCUUAAACAUUUAAUUAUCUCUGCUCUUCUCCACUCCCCAGACUUCUCUAAUCAGUGGGGACUGAACUCAGUUUGUAAGUGGAUUCUUAUGGAAAUAAAAAAAUUUCAUUGCUGGAGUAGAAACAACUUUUCCUUCCCUGUAGCUAUACCAUAGUUAUUUUAUAGAUUUUAUUUUUCUGUAAGAGAUCAUUUUAUUUAUUGUAGCUGAAGUAAUACUAAUAAAUAAUUUAUAGUUUAGCACAUAAAUAAUUUAUAUAUUAAGCAUAUUGUAAUUCUGUUUAUUUAUUUGUUUGUAUAGCUUUUUACCCAACCUCACUGGAGGAAGGACGCUGAUUUAUAGAAAGUCCAGAAUAAGAUACUGUUUCAGCUGGAAAAAAAUAUGGGAGACACACCACCAUGAAGCUGCAAGACUGAUCCACCCAAGCUCAGCCCCAGCUGGGAGUGCGAUGACUGGUGCCUGCCCCACUGCCGGGGGGCACACAGCCCUUCUGCAAGGUCAGAAAACAGAGCAAGCGUGAUCUCAUCCCCAUGCCAGUUUCUCCACAUUACAAAGUCACCGCAAGACAUGACGACACGUUCCUUCUCUGGGAGGAUGGGACUGAGGGCUUGUCUGCACUGCUUGGAAGAACAAACUGGAAAGAACAGACACGCACAAGCAAUCUUGAGGCUCUCAAGACAGAACUCUGAAAGUGUUUUGAAUUUGCACACAUGGAUAUAUACUGUGAUCAGUUCUUCAACAUUAAUGAUGAAGGAAAACAAAUUGUGCCUGUUCUUUCAAUCAGGUUUAUAA
rnacentral:lncRNA from 1 species